rnacentral:rRNA from 1 species
CCUUUGACGUUAGCGGCGGACGGGUGAGUAACACGUGGGUAACCUACCUAUAAGACUGGGAUAACUUCGGGAAACCGGAGCUAAUACCGGAUAAUAUUUCGAACCGCAUGGUUCGAUAGUGAAAGAUGGUUUUGCUAUCACUUAUAGAUGGACCUGCGCCGUAUUAGCUAGUUGGUAAGGUAACGGCUUACCAAGGCUACGAUACGUAGCCGACCUGAGAGGGUGAUCGGCCACACUGGAACUGAGACACGGUCCAGACUCCUACGGGAGGCACAGGC